GUCAUUGAUGUUAGAGUGUAUAGACGGUGUAUAGACAGGUCAUUGAUGUUAGGGUGUAUAGACAGGUCAUUGAUGUUAGGGUGUAUAGACGGUGUAUAAACAGGUCAUUGAUGUUAGGGUGUAUAGACGGUGUAUAGACAGGUCAUUGAUGUUAGGGUGUAUAGACGGUGUAUAGACAGGUCAUUGAUGUUAGGGUGUAUAGACAGGUCAUUGAUGUUAGGGUGUAUAGACGGUGUAUAGACAGGUCAUUGAUGUUAGGGUGUAUAGACGGUGUAUAGACAGGUCAUUGAUGUUAGGGUGUAUAGACAGGUCAUUGAUGUUAGGGUGUAUAGACGGUGUAUAGACAGGUCAUUGAUGUUAGGGUGUAUAGACGGUGUAUAGACAGGUCAUUGAUGUUAGGGUGUAUAGACGGUGUAUAGACAGGUCAUUGAUGUUAGGGUGUAUAGAGGGUGUAUAGACAGGUCAUUGAUGUUAGGGUGUAUAGACGGUGUAUAGACAGGUCAUUGAUGUUAGGGUGUAUAGACAGGUCAUUGAUGUUAGGGUGUAUAGACGGUGUAUAGACAGGUCAUUGAUGUUAGGGUGUAUAGACGGUGUAUAGACAGGUCAUUGAUGUUAGGGUGUAUAGACAGAUCAUUGAUGUUAGGGUGUAUAGACGGUGUAUAAACAGGUCAUUGAUGUUAGGGUGUAUAGACGGUGUAUAGACAGGUCAUUGAUAUUAGGGUGUAUAGACGGUGUAUAGACAGGUCAUUGAUGUUAGGGUGUAUAGACGGUGUAUAGACAGGUCAUUGAUAUUAGGGUGUAUAGACGGUGUAUAAACAGGUCAUUGAUGUUAGGGUGUAUAGACGGUGUAUAGACAGGUCAUUGAUGUUAGGGUGUAUAGACAGGUCAUUGAUGUUAGGGUGUAUAGACGGUGUAUAAACAGGUCAUUGAUGUUAGGGUGUAUAGACGGUGUAUAGACAGAUCAUUGAUGUUAGGGUGUAUAGACGGUGUAUAGACAGGUCAUUGAUGUUAGGGUGUAUAGACGGUGUAUAGACAGGUCAUUGAUGUUAGGGUGUAUAGACAGGUCAUUGAUGUUAGGGUGUAUAGACAGGUCAUUGAUGUUAGGGUGUAUAGACAGGUCAUUGAUGUUAGGGUGUAUAGACAGGUCAUUGAUGUUAGGGUGUAUAGACAGGUCAUUGAUGUUAGGGUGUAUAGACAGGUCAUUGAUGUUAGGGUGUAUAGACAGGUCAUUGAUGUUAGAGUGUAUAGACGGUGUAUAGACAGGUCAUUGAUGUUAGGGUGUAUAGACAGGUCAUUGAUGUUAGGGUGUAUAGACGGUGUAUAAACAGGUCAUUGAUGUUAGGGUGUAUAGACGGUGUAUAGACAGGUCAUUGAUGUUAGGGUGUAUAGACAGGUCAUUGAUGUUAGGGUGUAUAGACGGUGUAUAGACAGGUCAUUGAUGUUAGGGUGUAUAGACGGUGUAUAGACAGGUCAUUGAUGUUAGGGUGUAUAGACAGGUCAUUGAUGUUAGGGUGUAUAGACGGUGUAUAAACAGGUCAUUGAUAUUAGGGUGUAUAGACGGUGUAUAGACAGGUCAUUGAUGUUAGAGUGUAUAGACGGUGUAUAGACAGGUCAUUGAUGUUAGGGUGUAUAGACAGGUCAUUGAUGUUAGGGUGUAUAGACGGUGUAUAAACAGGUCAUUGAUGUUAGGGUGUAUAGACGGUGUAUAGACAGGUCAUUGAUGUUAGGGUGUAUAGACGGUGUAUAGACAGGUCAUUGAUGUUAGAGUGUAUAGACGGUGUAUAGACAGGUCAUUGAUGUUAGAGUGUAUAGACAGGUCAUUGAUGUUAGGGUGUAUAGACAGGUCAUUGAUGUUAGGGUGUAUAGACGGUGUAUAGACAGGUCAUUGAUG